UUGCUUCAGCAGCACAUAUACUUAAACUAGAACAGUACAGAGAAGAUUAGCAUGGCCCCUGUGCAAGGAUGACAUGCAAAUUCAUGAAUCGUUCCAUAUUUUU
ensembl:snRNA U6 U6 spliceosomal RNA